CGCGCUGGGAGGGAGGAAGGAAGGGCCCAGCGCGCAGGCCGGGGAGGGACGUCUCCCGGUCCGCAUUUCACUAAUGAGAAAACGGAGGCUCAGAGAGGUGAAGCGACUGGCCCAAGGUCACACAGUCAGAAGAGACGAGCUUCCUAGCACAGGAGUUGCACACAAAGUAAAGGAAUGGAAGCCCAGGGAGCUGAAAUUUUUUUUCCCUGCAUUUCCCAAAGGGUGUUCUCUACCAUGAGGAAUAAGGCCAAGGCCUCUUCCUAGAAGUGCUCCAGGCUUCCAGGCAGCACCAAAGUACCACGGGCUCUGUGAGCCUACGCCCUGGAGGGCACUUCAGCCCAAAGACCAUGGGCAGAGGUCCCACCACUGUGCCAAGGAGACAGGUGAGCACCCACCAUGAGCAGACCUGGGCCCACCCUGCAGACUGCCCUCACCUGAGCAGGCUGCCUCCACAGCCAGCUCCCCUCAAAGAGCACUUAGGAAGCCCGUUCUCCAGGAGGAGCUGUAGGGGACAGGGAGGGGUUCGAGAGACUCCCCCGGGCUUGGAAGAGUUUGGAAUACAACAGGGAGCAGCAGACACCACCACACUG